UUCAUGGUGUCAGGAAUUUUACAUUUUCCUUUUUCUUUUGUUUGGUGAGGUUUGUCGCUGCAACUUUGUGCAUCAUAGGCUCUAUCUAUGCCUUGUUCCAGCUCUAUUACCCCACUCAGAAAGCUAAGAGCAGUCUCGCCUUUGUGAUGAUUAGCGAACCUACAGGUCAAAUUCCUGUUCAUCACUAAACCUUUUGGGGACCAACCAUACUGGAGUCCAGCUCCACACUUUUAGCUCUAACUUGCUGCCGUAUUGGAGUGCCAGCAUGCCUUGUUCAACACCUUAUUCAACACCUUACAUGGAUUGAAAGCUGAUUUCCUGAGACCUAUGAUUCAACACCUAUCGGAACAUCUAUGUUGCUUGAAAUAUUGGAAGAUAAGCGAACACAGGGAAAUGAUGGUUCGCAUAAUGUUAAACAUUAUUCCAAAGAUCUUGUCAUCCAUCAUCCUUCACAAAGUUCACCAGGUUCCGAUCCUUGGAGGCAGUCAAGACUCAAUCUUGUGAAGGACUAAAUUAAGCACGGUCGCACAUCAAAGGAUCAUUGACUCGUUUCAAAAGGCCUGAACAAUAUCAGUAAAUUGUAUGCAAAAGAUUUUGGAUGAAACAUGGCUGUAUUAAGAAAUGUAGAACUUAAGAGGAACUAAGAAAAGUCAAUAAUGCAGAUGCAAUUACUGGGA